UCCGUAGGUGAACCUGCGGAAGGAUCAUUAACACUAAUCCACACACUACUCAACCGAGCCUUUAGUUGCAGCCGAGGUGCUCGCCGUCAGGGCAGUGCCGCAGCAGCAACCACAACAAACCUAAAGCACACAAAGGAUUCUAACUAAGCUAUUCCACAAAACCAAAUUCUCAACGAUGGAUAUCUUGGUUCCCAUAACGAUGAAGAACGCAGCGAAGUGCGAUAAGCAAUGCGAAUUGCAGAACCGUGAGUCAUCAGAUUUUUGAACGCAACUGGCGCUGGUUGGUUAUCCAAUCAGCAUGCUUGUUUCAGUGUCUCUUUAUCCCCUCACCCAAAUCUUAAUGCGAGAGAUACCCUUCUCUCGUCAAGCAUGAAAGCACUCUGCGCUCUGCGAGCGACUUCGACUUGUUCGAGGGUCGCACUCAAUGCAGCAGUCACAUUGUUCACAAUGUGAACUCAUUGAGAGCCGAGGCAGUGCAGCCUAACAGCUGCCAGUGCUUAGACACUCAAACUUUUCUUGGUAUCUGGAAAUCAAGGCAGGGACCACCCGCUGAACUUAAGGCAUAUCAAUAAGGCGGGGAGGGGGAAGGGUCGGACUGGCCAAGGGCACACAGGGGAUA
rnacentral:rRNA from 1 species